rnacentral:rRNA from 1 species
GGAAUUUCAUAAAAUUUCUUUCUUAAUUUUAAAAAUUGAAAUUAAUUUUAUAUGUGAAGAAACAAUAAUAAAAAUUAAGGACAAGAAGACCCUAAGAAUUUUAAAAAUUUCAAUAAAAUACAGUAUUUUAUUGAAAUUUUUUAAUUGGGGCGAUUAUUAAAUAUUAAAAACUUUAAUUUUUUUAAAAAAGAACCAAUAAUAUUGGUUAUUUGAAAAAAUACU